GCUCUCGUAGCUCACCGGUCUGAGCCUCCACUUGCGAUGGACCGCCUUAUCACAUGUUAUGUGGAUGACGUGGGUUUGACUCCUACCGAGGGCA